GCCCGGUUAGCUCAGCUGGUUAGAGCGUCGUACUAAUAUAGCAUCACUGUUAUAUCAAGUCAUGCGAAGGUCAACAGUUCAAUCCUGUUACUGGGCA